rnacentral:rRNA from 1 species
UACGGGGGGAGCAAGCGUUGUUCGGAUUUACUGGGCGUAAAGGGCGCGUAGGCGGCGCAACAAGUCACUUGUGAAAUCUCCGGGCUUAACCCGGAGCGGCCAAGUGAUACUGUCGUGCUAGAGUGCGGAAGGGGCUACUGGAAUUCUCGGUGUAGCGGUGAAAUGCGUAGAUAUCAGGAGGAACACCGAUGGCGAAGGCAGGUCACUGGGGCCGCAACUGACGCUGAGGAGCGAAAAGCAUGGGGGAGCGAACAGG